GAAAGUAUGGCUCAGUGGUAGAGCGUGUGCUUAAUUGACAUGCACGAGGGCCUGGGUUCAAUCCCCAGCACCUCCA
rnacentral:tRNA from 1 species